rnacentral:rRNA from 1 species
CAGUAGCCGCGGUAAUACGAAGGGUGCAAGCGUUAAUCGGAAUUACUGGGCGUAAAGCGUGCGUAGGCGGUUUGUUAAGUCUGUUGUGAAAUCCCCGGGCUCAACCUGGGAAUGGCAAUGGAUACUGGCAAGCUAGAGUGUGUCAGAGGAUGGUGGAAUUCCCGGUGUAGCGGUGAAAUGCGUAGAGACCGGGAGGAACAUCAGUGGCGAAGGCGGCCAUCUGGGACAACACUGACGCUGAGGCACGAAAGCGUGGGGAGCAAACAGGAUUAGAUACCCCCGUAGUCCCUGUCUCUUAUAA